UGAAUAUGGUCCGGCUGAUGGGAGGAGCCCAUUACUUAUUAUUAAGGUUUCACACUUCGUUCUCUCUCCUCAAGUCCUUAGCCAUCAUGCCCUCCUUUCUCCUUUCUCCUCUCUCUUAUCUCCUCUCUCAUUUUUCUCAUUCUCUCCCUCUUCUUCGCACUUUCACUCAAUAUCUCUCUCUUCUGCUCACUCAAUCAACUCCAUUUUUGUUUCCUCUCUAUGGAUAUACGAACAAGCAUUAUGAAUACUAAAGAAAGAGAAAAGUUUGUGCCCUAAAUGCUCCGACUGAAGAUGCUUCGUCGGUGGUUCCGGGUCCUGUUGGUGAAUUGCCCGUGAUGAUUUUAUUGGUGGAUGCUAGUUCUACAUUAGCUGAGCCUGAAAAGGGGAGAAAGAGCAUCAUCAACUUCUUCUUUUGGAUGAGUUUGGAUUCGCUGAAACGGAUGAAAAUAUGAAGGAUGAUAAUUUCUCUCCUCUCACUUCCUUUUUUCUACUUGUCUUUUUGUUUUUGCUUAUAUUUUAGCUGAAUUGCGCCUAUUUUUAUGAUAAUAUCUUUUUUUCGUGUUCUCCUCAGCUUUUUGUGUAUUUUUUUGUCUUAUAUUUUUGAAAUUUAUUAUUUUUUGAGUGUGAAGGAGAUUUUGGGGACUUUUGUUUCUGUUUGGAUGUAUAGUUGAUGGUAAAGAUCCUAAGGAUUUGCAACAGGAGAUUGGUGAUGAUGAGAUUCCAGAGAAUUAAGGGGUUUAAUUUUUUUUCAAAAAUUUGGGUAAUUUUGAUUUUUGAUGGAAUCCUUGAUUUUGGUUUUUAAUGAGGAAAUUGUUAUGAUUAAGGUUUGAUGGAUGAAUUUUGCAGAAAAAUCAUGUUAUAUUUUGAUAAUUUCGAGUAUGGGUAUGUUUUUCUUCGUCAUUUCCUUUUUAUAAUUGCAUAUGUCAUUAUGGAUUUUGUUAAGAUCAUUAUUCGUUGCUUUAUCUUUGAUUAAUCAACUGUGGAUUUGGUUGAUUUUGGUUAAUUGCUCUGGAAUGUUGUUUUUUGGUAUGACUGAAUUUGUUCAGCAGAUUGGAUUAAAGUUUCUCUUUUUCUAUUUAAUUAUUUGUUUUUAUGUGUGAAAUAAUCACAUUUCAUCAUUAUUUUUUUGGUCUGAAAUCUAGGGGUUUUCAUUGUGAUCUUACUGUCCUAAGCUUUGUUGUUGGAUUGAUCCAUUUCAAGAACACAUUAUUAUAUGGUGACUGUUAUAAAUUUAAACAAAAUUUGUUUGAUCUUGUAUUUAUAUGGGUUGAGAAUUUGAGAUUGAAUUUUCAGCCGAAGAUAUCAAGUAAGUAAAAAUGGAAGAAGAUGGUUCAAGGUCAAUGCCAUCUACUCAACAACAGGUUUUGAUGGAGUGGAGAUCCACCGAGCCCAUGGCUACCUCAUUGACCAAUUCCUAAAAGAUGGUUGUACAAAAUUUAAGCUUCAUCAACAAAGCAUAAUAUUCUAUAAGAUCUUUCAAGUUCUUAGUCUACUAUGGAAUAGAAAACUUGUUUAAAUUUUCAUGUUGUAUUACGGAUUAUUAUAUAUGUAGUAGCUUUUGACUCAUUUUAGGUAGUUGUUGUAAAGUCAAUUCGGACAUUUGUAAAAGUUGUAUUAAUUAAAUUUUAGAUUUAUUAUUAUU